rnacentral:rRNA from 1 species
UACGGAGGGAGCUAGCGUUGUUCGGAAUUACUGGGCGUAAAGCGCACGUAGGCGGCUUUCUAAGUCAGAGGUGAAAUCCCGGAGCUCAACUCCGGAACUGCCUUUGAUACUGGAAAGCUUGAGUUCGGGAGAGGUGAGUGGAACUGCGAGUGUAGAGGUGAAAUUCGUAGAUAUUCGCAAGAACACCAGUGGCGAAGGCGGCUCACUGGCCCGAUACUGACGCUGAGGUGCGAAAGCGUGGGGAGCAAACAGG